AACGAACGCUGGCGGCGUGCCUAACACAUGCAAGUCGAGCGCGAAUGGAGCAAUCCUAGUAGAGCGGCGCACGGGUGCGUAACACGUGGGUAAUCUGCCCUGGAGCCCGGGAUAACCUGCCGAAAGGCAAGCUAAUACCGGAUAAGCCUACGGUCCCCUCGGGGACUGAAGGAAAAGGUGGCCUCUGCAUGCAAGCUAUCACUUCAGGAUGAGCCCGCGGCCCAUCAGCUAGUUGGCGGGGUAACGGCCCACCAAGGCGACGACGGGUAGCUGGUCUGAGAGGACGAUCAGCCACACUGGAACUGAGACACGGUCCAGACUCCUACGGGAGGCAGCAGUGGGGAAUUUUGCGCAAUGGGCGAAAGCCUGACGCAGCAACGCCGCGUGUGUGAUGAAGGUCUUCGGAUUGUAAAGCACUUUCGACCGGGACGAAAACCCGCUGGCCAAUAUCCAGCGGCUUGACGGUACCGGGAGAAGAAGCACCGGCUAACUCUGUGCCAGCCGCCGCAGUAACAC
rnacentral:rRNA from 1 species